GAUGAAGAACGUAGUGAAAUGCGAUAAGUAGUGUGAAUUGCAGAAUUCAGUGAAUCAUCGAAUCUUUGAACGCACAUUGCGCCCUUUGGUAUUCCAAAGGGCAUGCCUGUUCGAGCGUCAUUUGUACCCUCAAGCUUUGCUUGGUGUUGGGCGUCUUGUCUCUAGCUUUGCUGGAGACUCGCCUUAAAGUAAUUGGCAGCCGGCCUACUGGUUUCGGAGCGCAGCACAAGUCGCACUCUCUAUCAGCAAAGGUCUAGCAUCCAUUAAGCCUUUUUUUCAACUUUUGACCUCGGAUCAGGUAGGGAUACCCGCUGAACUUAAGCAUAUCAAUAAGCGGAGA
rnacentral:misc_RNA from 1 species